CUAUAAUCAAGCCUGCAGUGUUUAAACCAUGGCCUGUCCUCCAUUCUUUGACACAUUGUCUACUCACCCUGAGUGGUAGCUAGAGUCUGUCCCUUAAAUUAACAAUUCAAGUUUUUGCUUCUUUCUUGAGGAGUUUUUCAAAAGUCUAACACGUUUUCUUUUUUUGCCUGAGUGUUUUUGUCCGCCCGCCUGCCACAACCUCUGGAUUAUCCACCAUUACUGCUCUGUUUUUUUUGGACCAUAAACCAGCUCCUGUGUUUAUUGUGUUGCUCUUGGAUCCAGUCCUUCAUUUAAAUCGUAACACAAACUUUUGUUUCAUCAUUUACCAUAAGCUCCCUGCGGAAGGCGCAGUGGUCGGCUGCAGCGAGUUGUUUGAAGGUGUCCUCCACUAGAUGUCGGUGAUGCCCCUGGGGACAGACCAGGAAACCGGGCUGAGGGCAGUCUGAGCACCGAACUGUCCACUGGAGCCGUCUCCCCACCAGAUCAGCUGCACCAUGAUAACACCAUGGACUGUAAAUAAUGACGAUCACACCUGAUGUGUUGAUGGCAUCUGUUCUGGAACUCCCUUUUAAUGUUGCAUUCAAGUGCUGCCGGGAAAUAUCACUAUCGCGUCAAGUCUUUCAACUCUUAUUGUGCGAGUUUAGGAUAUUGUUUGGAUCUGUGGUGAUAGUUAAAAUGGUUUUACACGACCACACUUGUUAAAUAAAUAAAACAUACUUGUUCCCAAAGAGCAAUACAUUCCCAAGCAUUUCAAGACUAUAGCUAUAGGCUGUAGUGGUUCCCAAAGUAGGGGUCGGGACCCCCUGGGGGGCACUUAGACAGGUUGCGAGGUGCCUUCCAUAAAUAAAUAAAAAAAGUUUGAUUUAAAAUAUGCAUAUCUUACCCAUUAUUGUGGAAAUACAAUUAAAAAUACAACUGUACUUGUUAAGUAAGAUUUAUGCUGAAAUGAAAGUGAUGUGAAAACAAAUCAACAAGCUUUCAUGAAACAGGAGUCAGCUAGAGGGCACCAGAGAUUAGUAAAGAGACGAGAGGUUUAACUUUCAAAGUUACAUUUUCAGCUUUGUAAUGGACCUGGUGCUCAUUAUGAUUUUUUAUUCAGGUUUAACCAUUAAAAACAAAAUUGUAAUCACCAA